rnacentral:rRNA from 1 species
GAUGAACGCUGGCGGCGUGCCUAAUACAUGCAAGUCGAGCGAACGGACGAGAAGCUUGCUUUUCUGAUGUUAGCGGCGGACGGGUGAGUAACACGUGGAUAACCUACCUAUAAGACUGGGAUAACUUCGGGAAACCGGAGCUAAUAUCGGAUAAUAUUUUGAACCGCAUGGUUCAAAAGUGAAAGACGGUCUUGCUGUCACUUAUAGAUGGAUCCGCGCUGCAUUAGCUAGUUGGUAAGGUAACGGCUUACCAAGGCAACGAUGCAUAGCCGACCUGAGAGGGUGAUCGGCCACACUGGAACUGAGACACGGUCCAGACUCCUACGGGAGGCAGCAGUAGGGAAUCUUCCGCAAUGGGCGAAAGCCUGACGGAGCAACGCCGCGUGAGUGAUGAGGGUCUUCGGAUCGUAAAACUCUGUUAUUAGGGAAGAACAUAUGUGUAAGUAACUGUGCACAUCUUGACGGUACCUAAUCAGAAAGCCACGGCUAACUACGUG